GGGAAAUUUACUUUUUUACCUUCUCUUUUUCUUUACUUUGCCCUUAACAGUUUGUACAUUCCUAGCUACUGCUGACUCCAGGGCGGGCCUCUUAACACCGAGGAUAUGGCGCCAAUUUUUUUUUACAGAUAAUUUUCCUUUUGUCUGUACCUC